AGUAGAACAAAAGGUGAAUAAUGAGUGGAAUCCAACACUAUGUAAAGUGUGUGAUAAGUAUAGUCAUUCAGCUGAUAAGUGUAGGAGGAAGAAAAAGGAAGUAGAUGAAGGUAAGAGAUAGAAGAUCCUCAAGCAAGUCCAAUAAAGAUAACUCAUCUAGGUGCUCAACAGAUUCAGGAAAAUUUGAUGGAACACAGAGGUAUUUCUGUACGAAAUGUGGUCACUAAGACAGCUUAAACCAACCAACAAGGGACUAAGUCAUCAAAUACAACUUAUUGGACUACUCCUCAGAGAAUAGGGAGAGCUCAAGUAAAACAACAACAACAACAAAU
rnacentral:lncRNA from 1 species